rnacentral:rRNA from 1 species
GGGCCCGCACAAGCGGUGGAGCAUGUGGUUUAAUUCGAUGCAACGCGAAGAACCUUACCAGGGCUUGACAUACUACAAAUCUCUUCGAAACGAGAGAGUGCCUUCGGGAAUGUAGAUACAGGUGGUGCAUGGCUGUCGUCAGCUCGUGUCGUGAGAUGUUGGUUAAGUCCCGCAACGAGCGCAACCCUCGUUUUUAGUUGCCAAUUUAUUGGGUUUUUAGAAAGACUGCCGGUGACAAACCGGAGGAAGGUGAGGAUGACGUCAAGUCAGCAUGCCCCUUAUGUCCUGGGCCACACACGUGCUACAAUGGCAAAGACAAAGAGUUGCAAAUUCGCGAGGAU